UCGCUAGCCUCCUCGUAGCACUCCUUGCACGUUCCGGCGUCAAUCGUCCCGUACUCCUCUUUGCACGAAAUGCACCGCAUAGUUUCGGUUUCGGAAUCCGUAUCGGUGUCGGUUUCCACCCGGGAUUGCUCACACCGGUGGCCUCUCAUCGUCUGGGAUUCUUCCAGAAGCGUCCGAGAUUAAAAAGCUAUUUUUCUACCCAAAAAAAAAAAAACACUAUACUAUUUGGGAAAAACUUGCCUCGUUAUCAACUCAAUAUAUAAAUGUUUAGAAUUUUCAUUUUUAUCUUAUUAUAUAUUGUGUCCUAAUUUUAAGGUGCAUGGAAAUC
rnacentral:misc_RNA from 1 species